UUUCCUUCUUUACAAAAAACCCGGCGACGCUACUGACUAUUAUAUUGACUCCUUCUCAGCUAUCAUUCCCAUAUUUCUCCCUCCCUUUGCAGUUGCACGACAACCGUUCCACGAAAUUCCCCUGAGAAUAAACCACAAAUUGCUAAUAUCUAUAUUCCAAUGGCGCUCCCUAACUUUACUGCUCUCCGCGACUUGCACAACUCGGCCAACGACCUCCUGGGCUCACCGGACCUCAUCCAGCGAGUAAUCAUCGGUCACAACAAGAGCCACGACGAUUCCUCCAAAUUCCUGUUCCAAGCAUCGGAGGCAUCUCUCCGAAUGCUGGA
rnacentral:lncRNA from 1 species